rnacentral:rRNA from 1 species
UACGAAGGGUGCAAACGUUGCUCGGAAUUAUUGGGCGUAAAGCGCACGUAGGCGGCUUUGCAAGUCGGAUGUGAAAUCCCUCGGCUUAACCAAGGAAGUGCAUCCGAAACUGCAGAGCUUGAGUACUUAAGAGGAUCGCGGAAUUCCCGGUGUAGAGGUGAAAUUCGUAGAUAUUCGCAAGAACACCAGUGGCGAAGGCGGCUCACUGGCCCGGUACUGACGCUGAGGUGCGAAAGCGUGGGGAGCAAACAGG